UCCCCGGUAGCUCAAUUUGGCAGAGCAUUCGGCUGUUAACCGAAGGGUUGUAAGUUCGAGUCUUACCCGGGGAGCCA
rnacentral:tRNA from 1 species